CCCUUAGACGUUCUGGGCCGCACGCGUGCUACACUGAGUGGAUCAGCGGGUCAGGUUGCGCGAAAGUGUUUCCUAAUCUUGAAAUCCGCUCGUGAUGGGGAUUGACGGUUGCAAUUUUCCGUCAUGAACGAGGAAUACCUUGUAAGCGCGGGUCAUCAUCCCGCGCUGAAUACGUCCCUGCCCUUUGUACACACCGCCCGUCGCUCCUACCGAUUGAGUGGUCCGGUGAGGCUUUGGGAUCUGAGCGGAAAGAGCGUUUCGCUGUUUCUGCUCGGAAAACUCAGUCGAACCUUAUCAUUUAGAGGAAGGAGAAGUCGUAACA
rnacentral:rRNA from 1 species